rnacentral:rRNA from 1 species
CGAAGGGGGCGAGCGUUGUUCGGAAUUAUUGGGCGUAAAGGGAGCGUAGGCGGUUCGAUAAGUCACUUGUGAAAUCUCUGGGCUCAACUCAGAGUCUGCAAGCGAAACUGUCGGGCUUGAGUAUGGGAGAGGUGAGUGGAAUUCCUGGUGUAGCGGUGAAAUGCGUAGAUAUCAGGAGGAACACCUGUGGCGAAAGCGGCUCACUGGACCAUUACUGACGCUGAUGCUCGAAAGCUAGGGGAGCAAACAGGAUUAGAUACCCUGGUAGUCCUAGCCCUAAACGAUGAUUGCUUGGUGUGGUGGGUACCCAAUCCCACUGUGCCGAAGCUAACGCGAUAAGCAAUCCGCCUGGGGAGUACGGUCGCAAGGCUG